rnacentral:rRNA from 1 species
AACGAACGCUGGCGGCAGGCUUAACACAUGCAAGUCGAGCGCCCCGCCAGGGGGGCGGCAGCCGGGUGAGUAACGCGUGGGAACGUACCUUUUGGUUCGGAACAACUCCGGGAAACUGGAGCUAAUACCGGAUAAGCCCUAACGGGGAAAGAUUUAUCGCCGAAAGCUCGGCCCGCGUCUGAUUAGCUAGUUGGUGAGGUAACGGCUCACCAAGGCGACGAUCAGUAGCUGGUCUGAGAGGAUGAUCAGCCACACUGGGACUGAGACACGGCCCAGACUCCUACGGGAGGCAGCAGUGGGGAAUAUUGGAAAAUGGGCGCAAGCCUGAUCCAGCCAUGCCGCGUGAGUGAUGAAGGCAUUAGGGUUGUAAAGCUCUUUUGUCCGGGAAGAUAAUGACUGUACCGGAAGAAUAAGCCCCGGCUAACUUCGUG